GGCGCGAAAACUUUACAAUGCGGGAAACCGCGAUAAGGGGACACUGAGUGCCAGCACCAUGUGUUGGCUGUCCGCAUGUAUAAAUCACAUGUGUCAGCAAGGGCCGGGCAAGACCGGUGCCAGCCGCCGCGGUAACACCGGCGGCCCGAGUGGUGGCCAUUAUUAUUGGGUCUAAAGGGUCCGUAGCCGGUUUGAUCAGUCUUCCGGGAAAUCUGACAGCUCAACUGUUAGGCUUCUGGGGGAUACUGUCAGACUUGGAACCGGGAGAGGUAAGAGGUACUACAGGGGUAGGAGUGAAAUCUUGUAAUCCUUGUGGGACCACCAGUGGCGAAGGCGUCUUACCAGAACGGGUUCGACGGUGAGGGACGAAAGCUGGGGGCACGAACCGGAUUAGAUACCCGGGUAGUCCCAGCCGUAAACGAUGCUCGCUAGGUGUCUGGGAUGGUGCGACCGUUUCAGGUGCCGCA
rnacentral:rRNA from 1 species